UACAGAGGUCCCAAGCGUUGUUCGGAUUCACUGGGCGUAAAGGGUGCGUAGGUGGCAAGGUAAGUUCGAUGUGAAAUCUCCGGGCCUAACCCGGAAAUGGCAUUGAAUACUAUCUUGCUUGAGGGUUGGAGGGGGGACUGGAAUUCUCGGUGUAGCAGUGAAAUGCGUAGAUAUCGAGAGGAACACCAGUGGCGAAGGCGACUACCUGGCCCAUUCUUGACGCUGAGGUGCGAAAGCGUGGGGAGCAAACAGG
rnacentral:rRNA from 1 species